GAUGAACGCUGGCGGCGUGCCUAAUACAUGCAAGUCGAGCGAACAGACUAGGAGGUUGCUCCUCUUACGUAACCGGCGGCUAGGUGGGUAGCACGUGGCUAACCUACCUAUAAAACUGGGAUGACUUCGGGAAAACGGACCGAAUACCAGAUCAUAUAUCGUACCGCGUGGUUCAAAAGUGAUCGACGGUUUUGCUGUCACUUAUAGAUGGAUCCGCGCCGCAUUAGAUAGUUGGUAAGGUAACGCCAUACCAAGGCAACGAUGCGUAGCCGACCGGAGCGGGGGAUCGGCCACACUGGAACUGAGACACGGUCCAGACUCCUACGGGAGGCCGCAGUAGGCAAUCUUCCGCAAUGGGCGAAAACAUGACGGAGCAACGCCGAGUGAGUGGCUAAGGUCUUCGGAUCGUAAAACCCUGUUUUUAGGUAAGAACAAAUGUGAAAGUAGCUAUGAACGUCUUGACGGUACCUAAUCAGAAAGCCCCGGCUAACUACGUG
rnacentral:rRNA from 1 species